UGGGGAAUAUUGGGCAAUGGGCGAAAGCCUGACCCAGCAACGCCGCGUGAAGGAAGAAGGUUUUCGGAUUGUAAACUUCUGUCCUCAGGGAAGAAGGACGUGACGGUACCUGAGGAGGAAGCCCCGGCUAACUACGUGCCAGCAGCCGCGGUAAUACGUAGGGGGCGAGCGUUGUCCGGAAUGACUGGGCGUAAAGGGCGCGUAGACGGCUGUCUAAGUCUGGAGUGAAAGUCCUGCUUUCAAGGUGGGAAGUGCUUUGGAGACUGGAUGGCUUGAGUGCGGAAGAGGUAAGUGGAAUGCCCAGUGUAGCGGUGAAAUGCGUAGAGAUUGGGAGGAACACCAGUGGCGAAGGCGACUUACUGGGCCGUAACUGACGUUGAUGCGCGAAAGCGUGGGGAGCGAACA
rnacentral:rRNA from 1 species